AUUCGGUAAACAUUGUUAAUUAUAUUUACCAUCAUUUCUUUUAAUUUAAAAAACUUUUUUUUAUAUCUAUUGUAGUAAAAUCUUUUAAAGACUAAUAUACGGAACCUAUAUCAUUUGAACCAUAUAUUCGCUAUGAUCAUGGAAUCCAUCUUUGUGUGACACAAGUACUAAAACGUAAAAAGAUAAUUACAGAUAUCAAUAGAGCAAAUAAGAAUUUAUUAUCAGACGAAAGCAAAGAAGAAUCAGAUACAGAGAGUGACAUGUUAGCAUAUACAUCUCAGAGUUUUUGCAUCACACCAAGCCUGCUUAUUGUGAAACAAACGAAGAAGAAGAUGAAAAAGAAAAAUGAAGGUGAAAAAAAGAUGAAGGUGAAAAUAAAGCUGAAUUAAAUUCAGAUGAAGAAAACGUUGAAGAUAAAGAAGCAUUUGAGUACGAUCCUGCAUUUCCUAGUACUAAAACUCUCGAAGAUGUUCGAACUAUUGUAAAAAAAUUCAAAUACAAACUUAAAUUAGUUAAA